GCCCCCAAGAGAGACCCCUGCCCAACUGAGAAAGAAAAAACCCCAGCAGAUGUAUUGCCUACAAGAACAGCUGUAACAGGAAGCCCGCUGCCGCCUCGCUCAUUCACACCUCCAGGGAGACCCAUUCUCCGAAAAACCACAAGGUCAGUGAAGAAGUAGGCUCCUCCAGGAACUCACUUCAGUGGCUCGGCCAGAAACACUGCAGGACCAGAGAGGAGCAGCCGGCGCCCGAACGCUGGCAUCAGCUCCCCAUACUGGCAGGACUUGUGCUUGUUUUUGGCAGAGGAGACCACAGCAGCUGCUGAAGUAGCCCAGUGGUGAGACAUGGGUGUUAUUUCUGGCUGUGAGAUUACAAACCUAUGAAAUUCCUUCUCUGUACAAACUAGAAUAUGUGGAAGAGAGUCUGUUAUUUCUAUAUUUUAAAAAC
rnacentral:lncRNA from 1 species